rnacentral:tRNA from 1 species
AAGAAUUUAGGUUAAAAAAACCCUUAGCCUUCAAAGCUAAAUUUAGAAAAUUUCUAAUUCUUA